CGUAAUCAACCUACCCAUCAGAGGGGGAUAACACUUGGAAACAGGUGCUAAUACCGCAUAACAGUUUAUGCCGCAUGGCAUAAGAGUGAAAGGCGCUUUCGGGUGUCGCUGAUGGAUGGACCCGCGGUGCAUUAGCUAGUUGGUGAGGUAACGGCUCACCAAGGCCACGAUGCAUAGCCGACCUGAGAGGGUGAUCGGCCACACUGGGACUGAGACACGGCCCAGACUCCUACGGGAGGCAGCAUG
rnacentral:rRNA from 1 species